AGAGUUUGAUCAUGGCUCAGAAUCAACGCUGGCGGCGUGCCUCAGACAUGCAAGUCGAACGCGAAAGUCCCCUUCGGGGGAUGAGUAGAGUGGCGCACGGGUGAGUAACACGUAGGUAAUUUGCCUUCGGGUGGGGAAUAACAGCCGGAAACGGCUGCUAAUACCGCAUAAUGCAGCGGCUCGACAUCGAGACAGUUGUUAAAGCGGGGGAUUCGCAAGAACCUCGCGCCUGAAGAGAAGCCUGCGGCAGAUUAGCUAGUUGGUAGGGUAAUGGCCUACCAAGGCGACGAUCUGUAACCGGCCUGAGAGGGCGGUCGGUCACACUGACACUGACAUACGGGUCAGACUCCUACGGGAGGCAGCAGUCGGGAAUUUUGGGCAAUGGGCGAAAGCCUGACCCAGCAACGCCGCGUGAAGGAUGAAAUCCCUCGGGAUGUAAACUUCGCAAGAAUGGGAAGAAUAAGUGGGGGACAAUACCCCCCAUGAUGACGGUACCAUUUGUAAGCUCCGGCUAACUCCGUGCCAGCAGCCGCGGUAAUACGGGGGGAGCAAGCGUUGUUCGGAUUUACUGGGCGUAAAGGGCGCGUAGGCGGUCGUGACAAGUCACUUGUGAAAUCUCCGGGCUUAACUCGGAACGGUCAAGUGAUACUGUCGGACUAGAGUACAGAAGGGGCAACUGGAAUUCUCGGUGUAGCGGUGAAAUGCGUAGAUAUCGAGAGGAACACCUGCGGCGAAGGCGGGUUGCUGGGCUGAUACUGACGCUGAGGCGCGAAAGCCAGGGGAGCGAACGGGAUUAGAUACCCCCGUAGUCC
rnacentral:rRNA from 1 species